rnacentral:rRNA from 1 species
GACAGAGGGUGCAAACGUUGCUCGGAAUUACUGGGCGUAAAGCGCGUGUAGGCGGUCCAGCAAGUCGGGUGUGAAAGCCCUCGGCUUAACCGAGGAAGUGCAUUCGAAACUACUGGACUUGAAUACUGGAGAGGAUCGCGGAAUUCCCGGUGUAGAGGUGAAAUUCGUAGAUAUCGGGAGGAACACCAGUGGCGAAGGCGGCGAUCUGGACAGAUAUUGACGCUGAUGUGCGAAAGCGUGGGGAGCAAACAGG